AGUGAACGCUGGCGGCGUGCCUAAUACAUGCCAGUCGAACGAAGUGGCGCACGGGUGAGUAAUAUAUAGUUAAUCUGCCCUACACAGAAGAACAACAGUUGGAAACGACUGCUAAUACCUCAUAGUGUAGGAUAAGACUAUAUUGUAUCAGCUAGUUGGUAAGGUUAAGGCUUACAAAGGCUAUGACGCGUAACUGGUCAGAGAGGAUGAUCAGUAGAAUUGGAACUGAGACAAGGGCCAAACUCCUGCGGGAGUCGGCAGUAAGGAAUAGUACGCAAUGGGGGAAGCCCUGACGGAGCAACGCCGCGUGGAGGAUGACACUUUUCGGAGCGUAAACUCCUUUUAUAAGGAAAGCGGUACCUGAUGAAUAAGCACCGGCUAACUCCGUGCCAGCAGCCGCGGUAAUAC
rnacentral:rRNA from 1 species